CCCAUUCCCCACCAGGUUGUACCCCCAUCGUGGGUUUCCCUGACCAGGAGAUCUGUGUAUGCCUCCAGGAAGGCGUUCAGGAACACCACAGCAAGUUCUCACCACAGCAAGUUCCCUGUCGCAUCCUACAACAGCGUCAAACCAUUGAGUUGGUUCCCAUCACUCACGCCUUCUAUUCCUACAGUGGAAAAGACUACGACUACUUUGUUUACGGUCUCGAGAAUAAGGUUUUCACUCCUAAAUAUCCUUCCGCCUGUGUUAUAUUAUAAAAGGAAACAUCUCAUGAUAAUGUAAUGGUAAUGUAAUGAAUAUUUUACAGUCAUAGUCAUUACAAUAUACUUUACUUAUUGUUGUCGUAUAAUCAACGAGGUAAGGAAUGUCUGCAGUAUUCUAGAAAUGUGUAACUACCAUUGUAUUGAUUGUGUAUAGACAAAAGUCAAUCCUGACAUUUUUACAUUUGUAAUUAUUAUCAUUUUUUACUCAAAAGGGUGCUAGCCGUGUUGGAACUCAAUGUAAAACCAGUGCCUGUUCAUUCCAGCCAUUCCAACCACAGAUUUUUCCAUCACACAAUUUAAUUGAAAGUAUAUGCUAUACUAUAACAAUGAUAUCCAAAGUAUAUGAAGUUGGAUAAUGGAAUAUUUUAUUCUGAAUUUUGUUAUGUUUCUCUGUACCUCUGUGGCCUCUCCAGUUUUGAUCAUAGAGAUGGAACUGUAGACCAUAGAAAGAGAAGCGGAAUCAUUUUAAUUCUAUGGAGAAUCUAGUCAAUCUGUUUCUAUGGUUUUGGAUCAUCCACUGAGGUCUAAGCUCAGAGUAAGAGAGGUUUUGCCUGUGUGUUUCUAAUUGUAAUCAAUGAAAUGGUUUUAUAUAAAUCUGCAUUUUAAUACAUGCACCUUACAACCUAUAUGCAAAAUAAAACAACUUUUCUAUGACCUGUAUUUUUAUAAUAAAAAAACGAUAAUUUUGAA